AAUAAAGUAAGCUAAAUAAGCUAGUGGGUUCAUACCCCAAAAAUGAAUUUUUUUUCCUUUAUUA
rnacentral:tRNA from 1 species